CAAUUACUCCCUCCGUUCAAAAAUACUUGUUAGAGAAAUGGAUAAAAAUAUAUGUAUCUAGAACUUAAAUACAUCUAGAUACAUCCAUCCCUGCGACAAGUAUUUCCGGACGGAGGGAGUACCAU
rfam:Triticum aestivum genome assembly, contig: Triticum_aestivum_CS42_TGACv1_scaffold_224751_3B